rnacentral:rRNA from 1 species
UACAGAGGUCUCAAGCGUUGUUCGGAUUCAUUGGGCGUAAAGGGUGCGUAGGCGGCGCGGUAAGUCGGAUGUGAAAUCUCGGAGCUUAACUCCGAAACUGCAUUCGAUACUGCCGUGCUUGAGGACUGGAGAGGAGACUGGAAUUUACGGUGUAGCGGUGAAAUGCGUAGAUAUCAGGAGGAACACCGAUGGCGAAGGCAGGUCUCUGGGCCACUACUGACGCUGAGAAGCGAAAGCAUGGGGAGCGAACAGG